GACCUCAAAUCGGGUGGGACUACCCGCUGAACUUAAGCAUAUCAAUAAGCGGAGGAAAAGAAACUAACAAGGAUUCCCCUAGUAACGGCGAGUGAAGAGGGAAAAGCUCAAAUUUUGAAUCUGGUGUCUUUGACGCCCGAGUUGUAAUCUAGAGAAGUGUUUUCCGUGUCGGACCGUGCACAAGUUCCCUGGAACGGGGCGUCAUAGAGGGUGAGAAUCCCGUAUAUGGCACGGACUGCCGAUGCUCUGUGAUACACUCUCAACGAGUCGAGUUGUUUGGGAAUGCAGCUCAAAAUGGGUGGUAAAUUCCAUCUAAAGCUAAAUAUUGGCGAGAGACCGAUAGCGAACAAGUACCGUGAGGGAAAGAUGAAAAGCACUUUGGAAAGAGAGUGAAACAGUACGUGAAAUUGUUGAAAGGGAAGCGG
rnacentral:rRNA from 1 species